rnacentral:rRNA from 1 species
UACAGAGGUCUCAAGCGUUGUUCGGAUUCAUUGGGCGUAAAGGGUGCGUAGGCGGCGCGGUAAGUCGGGUGUGAAAUCUCGGAGCUUAACUCCGAAACUGCAUUCGAUACUGCCGUGCUUGAGGACUGGAGAGGAGACUGGAAUUUACGGUGUAGCGGUGAAAUGCGUAGAUAUCUGGAGGAGUACCGGUGGCGAAGGCGGCAUCCUGGACCGACAUUGACGCUGAGGAGCGAAAGCUAGGGGAGCAAACGGG